rnacentral:rRNA from 1 species
UACGUAGGUGGCAAGCGUUGUCCGGAAUUAUUGGGCGUAAAGCGCGCGCAGGCGGUCUUCCAAGUCAGUGGUGAAAGCCCGGAGCUCAACUCCGGAACUGCCAUUGAAACUGUUGGACUUGAGUAUGAGAGAGGUGAGUGGAAUUCCCAGUGUAGAGGUGAAAUUCGUAGAUAUUGGGAAGAACACCGGUGGCGAAGGCGGCUCUCUGGGACGGUACUGGACGCUGAGACGCGAAAGCGUGGGGAGCGAACAGG